UUCAUUACUGUAUGUAUUAUUGACGAAAAUGGCUGCUUUUGCUGGAGAAAAGAGAAUGAAUCUCGCUGCUUUACAAAGAGUUGAUCCUUUGAUUCACAGAAUAAUAGGCAGUGCUACUCAAGUUGCAUUGUAUUGUUUUAAUUCAGAAAUGAGGAAAUGGGAAAGAACUGAAACAGAAGGUGCUUUGUUUGUUUAUAUCAGGUCACAACCACCAAAGCAUGGGUUUGUCAUCAUGAAUAGGCUGAACACCACCAAUUUGGUAGAACCAAUCACAACGGAAAUGGAAUUUCAACUUCAGAAUCCUUUCCUUUUGUAUCAUAACACAAGAGGUAUCAUAUAUGGCAUAUGGUUCUAUGAAAGGAAUGAGUGCUUACAAAUAGCACAUCUCUUGAUGAGAUUAGCUCAGCCACCCAUCCCUAAUAAUCAGGAACAGUUAUCUCUGAAGCAUCAGAAAGCUCAGCCUACAGAAGAACUUUCCCUUGGCAGAGGUAAAAAAAUUCAACCUAAUCAACAACCUCCCCACAGUAAGGGUCAAUCAAGAGAAAAUUGUCUCCUUAACAGAGGAGAAGAACAGAAUCAAAAGCCAGGCAAAAUUAUUGACAUAGUAUCUCUUUUGAGUCAUGCUCAGGAUGGAUAUAACAAGAACAAAAUGAAAAACCAAAGAGUAAAAACACGGCCUGAUGCAAUCACAGAUGUAUCCCAUAAAACCCACCCUGACAGUUCUGCACACUCAGAAAUUAUCAAGCCUGUGGCUAUCAGGGGAACACCAACAUCUAACACUGUAGUUUCUCAAGGGCUAUCAGUACCAGUUACUACUUCUUUAAGUGUGGCUUCUCUCUUUGCUUCUGCUAAUAAAACACUGCAGCAAAUGUCUCCUUUCCAUGAUCCAGUGAACUCCAAGAAUCCUCCAAGUGUCAUCCCAAUACUAAAAAAAUCCCAGUCUACAGAAGGGCUGGAUGGCAUAGAAUCUGAUAAGUUGGCAGAGAACAAUUCAGCUACCAUUCUACAACGUCUCAUGUCCAAUCCAGCCAAUAUACUUGAACACAUUGAACGAGAACAGAGGAAGGAGGCUUCUGGGUCAUAUACUCCACGGACAAGAGCCACUUCUUGCUCUGGGGACUUAGGACUUCCAAAUUCAAAUGUCAUGUUAGAAAAAUCCAGCUCUUUGCACACCUCAGCUUCAGCUCAGAGUCUUGAACAAGACUUGAAGGAGAAAUUAAAACUCAUUCCAAAGUGUAAAACAGAAGAUGCAGUAAACAAAGUCAGUCAGUCUGUUUCUCCUGUGUUUAACAUGAGCCCAGUUUCUUCAGCAUUUACUUCUUUUGAAUCAACAACUAACCAGCCAAAAAUCACAGAGACUGUUCCAGUAAAUACAAGUUCAGCUUCUGUUUCUCUUCUUACUCCAGUUAUGUUUGAACAAAAUUUGAAGUACUCUCCACCCCAGGUUCCUGUUAGCCAACUUCCAGUCAGCUCUACUGUAGAAACUAGUGUUUUAUACAACGACUCCUUUUCAACUGCAUUGUUGUCUCAGCCGCCAUCGAUGAUGAGACCACCACCAGCUUCAGAACUUCCGCUCCUGUCUCCUAUGGACUUCUGUAAUGUUCAGUCUAUUCCUGUCCUUGCAGUUGAUGGGCGUAGCAGCAAACCUGUGCAUACUAGUAGUAAACCAAUAAAUGGAUCAGGGAAUAUUGAAGAUCCAGUUCUUCUGCUUCCAAAUCAUUUCACACAGGGAGCGAGCAGCCCCAAAAAAUUUGAUGAUCUGGAUGAGUUACCACAAAAUGUUAGUGUUUUAACUCGAGACCAGCUAAGAGGGGCAUUGAUGCACUUGUUAAAAAAGGAUACUGAUUUUGUUAACAAACUCCACGAUGCAUAUGUUACGAGUUUAAAAACACACUUCAGUUCAACUGGAUCCUGAGAGUGUUACCCAGGUGUAGUCAUUCAGUAAGCUCCAGCUUUGUUGUAUAAUGAUGCCAUCCACGAUACAUUUAAAAUUAGUUCUAGAAUUUUUCUGGCCAUUUACACAAGCUGUGGUCAACAGUGAUGCAUGACACACGUAUAAAAAAAAAAAUGUUAUAGAACAGUGCUUUAAAUACAAGCUUAGAUUAUUAAAGAACUCAAACUAUGCAUACAGCUUAGUUUCUGUUGUCAAGAUAGCGAAAUAUAUAAUCAUAGUUUUAUGUUGAUUCCUGUUCUGAAAAACUAAACACCCAUAAAAGAUUUUUUUUAAAUAAUUAGUUAUCAUUCAUACAAGUUCUGCUUUAAAACUGAGAUUUUGACCAACCAUAUAGUUUUAGUCUAUUAACUCUAAUAUGCUUUAAUACUAACUAGCUGUAUAAUCUUUGUUUUACAGUGUUUCUCCGAUAAGGACACUGACUUUUACAGGUUUUGCUGUACCAUUACAUUGUUAUUUUUAAGAGUGUUUCUCUACAUACAUACACACACACACACCAAUGUACUGUGUAGUGAUUCAAGCUAUUCUAACUGGAUGCCAAAGAUAUAGUUCUGGCCACCACUGAUAGGAAUGACUAUACAGGCUUGUUGUAUUCUGCAGUGAUGCUGACCACUUAUACAAACUUUGAUUAAAAGUGAUAAGUAAACUGAUUGUUCUACAUUGAUGCUGACUGAUUGUACAAGCUGUGGUCAAUAGUGAUGAUAAAUGAGUAUACAGAUUGUUUUACAGUAAUGAAGACUGCUUGUACAAGCUGUGGUUAACAGUGAUAGUGAUGAGACUGUUUUACAAUGAUGCUGAUGUCUUGUACAAGUUUUGGACAACAAUGAUGGUGGUGGUUAUACAGACCACUUGUACAAACUCUGGUCAACAGUGAAAGUAAUGAGUACAUAGAUUAUUCGACAGUGAUACUCACCACUUGUACAAGCUAUGGUCAACAAUGAUAGAGAUGAAUAUACACAUUGUUCUGCAGGGAUACUGACCAUUUGUACAAUCUGAGGUCAACAACGAUAGAGAUGAAUACACACAUUGUUUUACAGUGAGACUGACCAUUCGUACAAUCUGAGGUCAACAACAAUAGAGAUGAAUACACAUCUUGUUCUACAGUGAGACUGACCUUUUUGUGCAAGCUCUUGGUUAACAGUAAUAACAUUUAUUGUAUGCUGUUCUACAGUGAUGCUGAUGUUUGAGGUGUGGUGAACAAUGAUACUGCUAAAUAUAAAAACUCUGUUUUACAAUGUUCCUAACCUCUUACAAGCUCUAGUCAACAGUCUGUAUACGUAAAUUUCACUCAAUUCCCUGAUCUUUUAACAGAAAAUCGUAACAUCCCCAGUGAACAUUUUUUGCAGUAUGUUUUUAACCAUAAGGAGUGCUUUUCAUUAUUCUUAUCCAAUAACAGAUGCUUGCAUUCACAGGAAACAUUAGACAGUUAAAUUUAAAUAUUGUUUUGCAAGUGUUUUCAGUACACUGACUUACAUGGAAUCCAUGUCCCCUAGUUUGCUCGUAACAUUUCAACUAAAACACAAUGUAUCAUGCAACUAGCUAUCAUAACUUUUAAUUAAUUCAAAUGUACCAAGGCACAAGACAUAUUAACUCAUUCUAGUAUAAUUUUCAUCAUAGUAAUUAUGUAUUAUUUUCGUUUCACAUAUUUGAAACAUUGAUUUUUGAACUACUGGCUGUUUAUAUAAACAAAUUUUGCUACAUGUAUCUCUCUAUUCUCAUAUUUUGAGCUGCUUUAAUGGGUGUACUUAAAUUGUAUAAUAGCAGAUAAAAAACCUUACUUCGUCAGUUUAUGUUACUGUUUGAUACAUCCAUGUGAGUGUCAGUGAAAAAUCUUACUUUGUUAGCUUAUGUUACUACAGGAUGAAUCCAUGGGUGUUGAGUUAAAAAUCUUACUUUGUUACAUUAUGUUACUCCUGGGUGCAUCCUAGUGUCUGACAGUUAAAAAAUCUUACUUCUUCAGUUUAUGUUACUACUGGAUGCAUCCUUGGGUGUUGAGUUAAAAAUCUUGCUUUGUCGGGUUGUGUUGCUACUGGAUGCAUCCUUGUAUCUUUCAUGUUGAGUUAAAAAUCUUACUUUGUCAGAUUGUGUUACUACAGGAUGAAUCCAUGGGUGUUGAGUUAAAAAUCUUACUUUGUCAGAUUGUGUUACUACAGGAUGAAUCCAUGGGUGUUGAGUUAAAAAUCUUGCUUUGUCGGGUUGUGUUGCUACUGGAUGCAUCCUUGUAUCUUUCAGUUAAAAAAUCUAACUUUAUUAGCUUAUGUUUGUAAUGGGCAGCACCCUUAGAGUUAAUUGUUUGAGUUUCAAUUAUACUGCAGAUUAUACCAAAUUUAUGUAGUUGAGGAUUGCAGUGGCGAGUGGAGCUUACAAGUCACAAACUCUAGGUAACUUACAAUUAAAAUAAAGAAACUUGAGUCUGAGUCUUUCAGUUAUUAAUAAAAUAGCCUUAAGGAUAUAGAUAACUUCUUGUUUAACAAUUCACAUUUUUAGCAAAAUUCUUUACUUUAUCUCGUGUAAACCUUCUAUUAAUAAUUAGAUAAUGCAUUAUAAGUCUUUCUUAAAUCUUUCUUACUAUAACUACACUGAUUGAAUCAGAAAAUUCUACUUACAACAUAGUUGGUGAGGUGUAUAUUUGCAGGUUGGAUUCUUUCAACAUCGUCUAAGAGAAACUGCUGGAAUUCAUGAGAACUUAGUAAGAACUCACGAGGAGACUAAUUUUCUGCCUUGAACAUGAGUUUUUAAACAGUUUUUUCCUUUGUGUUUGUACAAAUUCCCAAGUUAUAUGCAGCACUACCAGCAAGUGGUUCUUACACCUUAUUGGUUAAUUCUUGUAACACAUUGGACUGUUCCAAAACCAUAACCAAAACCCUCAAGUGAUUGGUUACUGUUAUAGUGAGUUAGUCGGUUGCUUUCUUACUUGUGCUAGUACACCAGUGUCAUGUAAGGCAGGGUUUCCCAACCUUUUUGCUCUUUCAGAGCACUUUUAACGGGAAAACAUUAUUUGCAGAGCAAUAUCAUCUGUAAAUUUUUAAACAAACCUUAUGGAUUAGAAAAAGUAAAAAAGAAAUGCAUAAAAACAAUGACUUUAUUGAAUAAUUUCAAAUAAAAGACAAAAAAGAAAUAUUUUUGGCACAAUUUAGUGGCUCACUUGCGGUUGCUUUGUACUGCAAAUUUUUUCAAUAUCAGGAGUUAUUGAUGUUAUCUGUAAACGGAGCUCAUUUUCUAUGUUCAAUCUAUUUCUAAAUUUGGUUUUGGUAGCAGCAUAUAAUGAAAAAUAUUUUUCACAAAGGUAUGUUGUUGGGAAAUUCACCAAAACUUCAAUGCCUUGAUUGUGAUUUCUCUGUGUUCCGUAUAUAUCUUAAUCCAAAAAUCAACAAUUUGAAAGAAAGUUAAUAAUGUAGAGUCGGUGGAAAUUUCUAUAAGUUGCUCUUUUUCUUUCAAAGACAAUUCAUCUGUAUUCACAGAAUCAGUGAAUGGAUUUUGAAUCCAAAGGAACUUCUUGACAUGUUAAGGAAAGUAUUCAACAGUGGUUGCUCUCAUAUCGGAUAAAUGUUGCACGACAGAAUCUUUUACGUCUUUAUCCAGGGAAAUUCCAUUAACAAGUAAAAAUUCACAAAGAUUAUCAAAGCAAUCAUAAUUUUCCCCCAAAACACACUCACUCCAAAGUUUUAGCUUACAGUGAAGUGUAUUAAUCCUACUCUAAGCUUUGAAAUAUGUUAAUUUUUUCCCUGCAAUGUAAUGUUUAUUUCACUCAGAUAUAGAAUAUAUCUGAAAGGUAAGCCAAUCCCUGCAACAAACAUGUAUCACCUAACCCUAUCAAAAUUUUAUUAAACUACUUUUUGUUUAUGUUAUACCAAUUAAAAUAGCAUAAAAUUGCAGCUAAUAAUCCAUAUUUUAAUAGUAUACAAGUUUUAAGUUCUUAAUUCUACAAGGAAAUAUAUGAAAAAAGCCUGAAAUCCCACUAGUGCAACACACGUGACACAUUUUGUCUUAGCAUGUUAUCAUCCAUAUUUUAUCCAUCACCCCUUGAAAAAUAAACAG